rnacentral:rRNA from 1 species
UACGUAGGGUGCAGGCGUUAAUCGGAAUUACUGGGCGUAAAGCGUGCGCAGGCGGUUUCUUAAGUCAGAUGUGAAAGCCCCGGGCUUAACCUGGGAACUGCGUUUGAAGCUGGGAGACUUGAGUGUGGCAGAGGGGGGUGGAAUUCCACGUGUAGCAGUGAAAUGCGUAGAUAUGUGGAGGAACACCGAUGGCGAAGGCAAUCCCCUGGGCCUGCACUGACGCUCAUGCACGAAAGCGUGGGGAGCAAACAGG